rnacentral:ncRNA from 2 species
UUAUUUCUUCGGGGUCGGGUGAAAGUCCCAACCGGCGGUGAUGAAGCAGUCUUCUGUUUCUAAGUCCGUGACCCGUAUAUGUUUGUAGUAUACGGUGGAUUUGGUGUAAUUCCAAAGCCGACAGUUACAGUCUGGAUGGGAGAAGAAAGAA